rnacentral:rRNA from 1 species
UGCCAGCAGCCGCGGUAAGACAGAAGGUGCAAGCGUUAAUCGGAAUUACUGGGCGUAAAGAGCACGUAGGUGGUGUUUUAAGUUGGAUGUGAAAUCAUUGGGCUCAACCUGAUGGGGUCAUCCAAAACUGAAAUACUAGAGAACAGGAGAGGAAAGAGGAAUUUCCGGUGUAGCGGUGAAAUGCGUAGAUAUCGGAAGGAACACCAGUGGCGAAGGCGACUUUCUGGUCUGUUUCUGACACUGAGGUGCGAAAGCGUGGGGAGCAAACAGGAUUAGAUA